rnacentral:tRNA from 1 species
AGAAAGUGGUGUAAUUGGGAGCACCAAGAGUUUUGACUUCUUGAAUAUGGGUUCGAGUCCUUUCUUUCUA